rnacentral:lncRNA from 1 species
UGCAGCUUCCAAUUAGCUCACAUGCCACAACCUGUCCCAAGAAUCAGUCCCGGACACGCUAAAUUACCGGACAAAUACCAACCCGGCAGCACGAGAAGGAUCCCAAAUGACGAUGCCGUCGUUCAAAGACAGUAGCUGAAGAUUUCUGCCUCCGACCCACUGUCCCGAGACCGUUACACCCAUUUAACCCGAGACUCGUAUAGAGUAAGGGGACCAGACGGGCACACCUUCUCCAAGAAGCAUCCACCAAGUAAACUAGAGAUCUGGAAGCCGAACUAAGGCCUUACCCUUGACAAAGAAUCCAACAAACCUCACCUCAGCGAACCUGCCACAUAGAUGCCAUAAGGAGAGAGAGCCGACGACCAAGAGUGCCACACCACCGAGUCCACACUACUUCAGAGAGAGACUAACAUCUACACACGCCACAAGCAAGCUCGGAGACGUAACAGAGAUGGCAGCCACUCCCACGCUGCCACUGGACCACCGCAAGAGAGAGAUCAACGAAGACUCCUAUCCUCACACGG